GACGAACGCUGGCGGCGUGCUUAACACAUGCAAGUCGAACGGGCCCGCUCUCUUUUUUGGGGGUGGGUUGAGUGGCGAACGGGUGAGUAUCACGUGAGUAACCUGCCCCCUGCUCCUGGAUAACUGCUUGAAAGGGCGGCUAAUACGGGGUGUGCCGGCUGGUCCGCAUGGGCCUGGUCGGGAUAGUUUCAUCUUCGGGUGUUUCGGUGGGGGAUGGGCUCGCGGCCUAUCAGCUUGUUGGUGGGGUGAUGGCCCACCAAGGCGGUGACGGGUAGCCGGCUUGAGAGGGUGGGCGGCUAUACGGGGACUGAGACACGGCCCAGACUCCGGCGGGAGGCAGCAGUGGGGGGUAUUGCACAAUGGGCGGAAGCCUGGUGCAGCGACGUCGCGUGAGGGAUGGAGGCCUUCGGGUUGUGAACCUCUUUCUCCGGUGGUGAAGGCCCUGUCCGUUGCGGCGGGGUUGACGGUAGCCGGGUAUGAAGCGCCGGCUAACUACGUG
rnacentral:rRNA from 1 species